UGGUCAUUACCAAGGCUUUUAGAAUGCAGUUUCUCAUUUGCCAUGGACAUGACCACAAAACAUUUCCCCAAUAGAUUUGUCCCCCCCCCCCCCCGCUAUGUUAAUAGCAUAGAAUUCAGCCUACUGGGAAUAAAU